GUGAGUAGUUCAGAGUUUGAUCCUGGCUCAGGACGAACGCUGGCGGCGUGCCUAACACAUGCAAGUCGAACGGGGUAAUCCUUCGGGAUUACUUAGUGGCGAACGGGUGAGUAACGCGUGAGAAACCUGCCUUUCAGUGGGGGACAACAGUUGGAAACGACUGCUAAUACCGCAUAAUGUUAUUUGAGGGCAUCCUCGAAUAACCAAAGCUUUAUGUGCUGAAAGAUGGUCUCGCGUCUGAUUAGCUAGUUGGUGAGGUAACGGCUCACCAAGCCGACGAUCAGUAGGGGUUCUGAGAGGAAGGCCCCCCACAUUGGAACUGAGACACGGUCCAA
rnacentral:rRNA from 1 species